GCUGGAAUAACUUAGUUGGUUAGAGCGUCUGGCUUUUAACCAUAAGGUCGGGAGGUUCAAGCCCUCCUUCUAGCA